GCUUCUUAAGCUCUGGCUGCUCUCUGUUUGGUGCUGGAUAGUUAAGUCUAGUCACGUAGGCGAACCGCCAGUUUGAGUCUGUCGUGGCACUUUUGUAACCUGCUGUUUUGUGCCUGCAAUCCUGAAUGCUGUUUUUUGUGUUUGAAGGAGAACCACUCUGCUCUGCUCAGCCUGCCUUUUGAUGCCACGCUCCACCAAUAAACUGUGUUCAACUUCGAACUGUCUCAGUCUGCUUCUGGGUUCACGUCACAAAUCCUGACAUUCUUAUGUGUCUUGGAUAUAGCUAGGGUGAAGUUUAGGUAGUGGGUUAAUAAAAUGGUGUAUGUAUUCUGUGAUUUUCUAUGAUUCUGAUCCGCAGUCACUUACUAUUGGUCUUCCGACCGGAACAACAGAGGGGACCGUCCAAGUCACCGGAGGCUUGUGGAUUUUCGGGAGGAGAUAGAAGACGCGAGGUCUGGGCUCAUCCGGACCGUCCAGGAAAAUAUUUAUUUAUUUUAUGUAGAUUUCCAGAGACUCCAGAAUGAAAACCAAGCUCUGAGGGAGGAGAACCACGCCCUGAGCUUUGGAUGACAGCGGCUCACUUCAAGAGCAGGUGAAGCAAGUUGGGACAAUGUUGAAGACGUUUGCUUGCUCUUGGCAAUCAGGUGCAGAUCAGACCCUAAUGCUGCGACGUCUUGGAGAGUUUGGCGAUGUUGUGCGUAGCAUGGACAACAAAAUGGAAACUAUGCAACAUUUCAGUGCCAAUGUGUCUGUUGGUGGAAAAAGGCGCCGAACAGCUGAGAGGGACCCACAUGGCCGACCCCUUAAACCUAGGCUGACUACUGACACCCCCCACAUCACUGACAACUGGAACACUUUCUUUAUCCUGCAGUCAGUAACAUCAAGACGCCAGAA